ACAUGGAACUUGGCCUGUUAAGAUGUUUUUGAUAGAAAUAGCUUUUGAUUUCAGUAAAUAUGACCUCCUAAUUCUGCAAAUUCAACAAAUGACCAUUUUCAGUUCUUUAAAACCAAAUAAAAUGCUUUGAAACUUUGAUAUGUAUAAUAAUUUGGACAGUGCAUUUGGAGUAUUUUUUUUUUUUUUUUUUUUUUUGAAAAAAAAAAAAAAUGUCUGGAAAGGUUUGUUAAAUAAAAUUUCAAUGGUGCUCUUAUGGUUGAUGCCUUGACAAUUAUACUGACUGUCAUUUGCAUCAACUAUUUAGGAAAAUCAGAGUAAAAUAUCAUUUGCAUAAUAAUUUGGAACUUGUAUGUGGGUAAAUAAUUACAAAUCAAUACAAAAGCCUCCAUGUGUUAGAUAUAAAUAAAUUGAGAUAUAAAUAUAUUUGGAUGUAUGCCCCAUACAGUUUUACCAUAACAACUGAAUAAGAAUGGCAUGAGUGAGUUUGAGUUUGAUUUGGGUACUGUGCAUUUUAUUUUACUUUUUUUUUUUUAAUUUUACAAAAACAUCCCUUUUUUUAAGGCGGAUGCAGUUAAUCAAAACUCCAGCCAAAUGAGUCAUGAAAGGUUUAAGAUGUCUCCUUAUUUGGAAGGGAAAGGCACUGAACUCAGCCAUCCUUGACAAAAUGUGCUUUUAAAAUAUCAGUCAUCCUCAUAACUAAUCAUCUCAAUGUCAUGUUAAGGAGAGAGCCAUUGCUUGGCACACAGCCUAAAACAACUUCCUUGAUUGAAAAAAAGAGAACAAAGGAGCUUUAUAUUACUAAGAUAACACACAUUUGUCUGGGCUAGUCAUUUAAGUCCAAAGCGAAAGUAAAACUGAAGUUGAGCACCUUAUUUUGUCCUGUUAUACUUGAGAAGUGAUCUCUAAGUGUAAGUUAAUGUUAUAGCAUAUUUAUAAACUGAUUACUUUAAAGACACCUUUAAAGCUGCACCUUUAUAGCUUUAAUCUUAACACAAAAAUACCAUAUUAAGUCUCUUUUCUGAGAACACAUUUGGCCAUUGAAGCACAGUUCAGUCCAAAGAUUUGCAACAAGACAGUUUAAACAUCUACAGCAGGCUGCUCUGUAAUGUUCUUAAAAGACUUUCAAUUUGCACAAUGACUCUGUGCCUCAGUUUCCAGUUCCCCCUUUUCAUGCCUGUCCUAUGAAUCGUAUAACCUGUUGUGCAUUCAAAUGAGGAUGGUCAUAGAGAGCUACUUAGAACAGUUGCAAUUCUACUUAAACUAAACAAAAGUCUGUGGGUGUUUCAACAGACCCCUGGGGGCUUGCAUCAAUUUACUGUGCAUUCAGAAACUUUCUAGACCCCCUUCACUUCUACCCCUUUCGCUGGUAAUUUCAGCACCAGUGGUGGAUAAUAAAUGUAUGCCACAAAUACAAUGAUUGUUGGCAAUUACUUGUUUCUGACAGUGCUCUCAUCAGAAAUGACAUGCAUCAUGCAGUAAUUAAUUAAGACAAUCUGGCUGCAGAUUUCAGAGAUCUUGCAGACCACAACCGUAAGACACCACAUCUGUCAAAAUGCAAAUACACACAAAAACUUUUAAAAAAUUAAUCGGAUAAACCAUCCGGUUAGGGUUAGGCAAAGGGAAGGGAAGGGUAAGACUACCGAAAGCUAGGCUAAAGCUAACAAAGAUAGGGUGUAACGUAGCUACAUAGCUAAAUCUAAAGCCAAUGAACCUAGAUAAAUGACACGGGUAACGUACUUCCAUAACUAAUGUAGCUAAGGCUAGAGCUAACAAAGCUAUAGAAGCUAUGCAGUGAUGUAGCUAAGUCUAAAGCUACAUACUUAACAUAGCUUCAUAACUAAUGAAGAUAAGGCUAGAGCUCACGAAGUUAGCAGUUAUUGUAGCUGCAUAGAUAAUGUCGCUAAAUCUAAAGCUAAAGAAUCAACAUAAACUACAUGUUUAACAUAGCUUCAUAACUAAUAUACCUGAGGCUAAACCUAACAAAGCUAUGGUAGGUAUGGGUAAUGUUUCUAAAAGUAACAAAGCUACAUAGCUUAUGUAGCUCCAUGACUAAUGUAGCUAAGGCUAAAGCUAAUGAAGCUGGCAAAGCUAUGGUAGCUAUGUAGAUAAUGUAGCUGUUAAAAAUCUCAAAUCCUCAGUCCUACUGAUACAAUCAUGGCAGAGCAGGGAGGAGGAGCCUCAGGAGGUUAUUUAAGAGAUGGGUGUGGUUAUCAGCCUCCCUUUGUCCUUGAGCCUGCUCUGUCCAUGCUGCCACAGCACUUAAGUAAGUUUGUUUGUUGAAUUAUUCCACUUUUUCCUUUGUUUACCAAAUAAGUGCAUCCUUUUAAUUAUGUUUGUCACUUUCACCAAAGGUAGAAGUUUGUUUGACCACUAAAACCACAAAGAAGAUCUAGAGACUUAGAAUUGUUUGUCUACUUUAAAGGACACAUAUGAGUGAGUACAUUUCCUACCUAAGUUUAGAAAGAAUAAUCUAAUUUGACACAGUGCACUAAUUUAUGUUUGUUUAGCAGGAAGCUGAAGCAAUUCCUCACUCCUUGUGUAACAUAUUGGAUGCAUAAAUUAAUAAAAUCAUCCAUCCAUCCACCUAUUCAUCCAUCCUUCCAUCUUCAUCUUCAAUAAAUGGUUAAUCUGA